GUUGAAAGCAACCAAACCAGAGGAAAUUUUAUAGGAGUUAAUAUGGCGGAAUGCGAAAUAGAGCCACUAAAAGUGCUCUAGCUUUUUAUGUAUCCAAGCAAAACUCAUGAUACUUUGAAAUAUCAUAAAGAAGAGGUUGUUCUUUGAUUUAAUUGUCACUAUGAGGAUGAGAAACGAAUUUAAGCGUGGAAUUUGGCCAUUGUCAUACAUCGAUUAAUUUCACCUCGGUCUUUGGCGAAUAGUGAUAAACAUAUAAAGUUAUAUAGCUUAUGUGUGGUUAGUCCGAUCGCCGUAAAAUAUGUUUUGAGUGAUAGGUUGGUGAUAUUUCAUGGUGUACAAAAGGAUUAAGGACGUGAAUACCAUGAACAAUGAAGGAAAUAAAUCGAGUUCAUCGAACCUUCUGUGAAUCUGUGAUCAACUAUUCAAACAGCGUAAUUCAACUUGGCAUAUUGGCCUACAAUCGUUUAAUAUAAAAUAAAUUGCGAUAUGAAAGAAAUUGCUGGACCUACUUCUUCUUCAAAAAUGAAUUUUAGGGAUAAUAUAUUGACUUGAAACUAUUGAAAUCCUUUGGCUGUGACUUUACAAAUUUGGUAUCACAACUCACAAGUGACAAGGCCUCCUAUGACAUCAUGACUGUUCAUUGAUAUUGGAAAAAUAGUUUAAAGAUCAAUGCUUGGAUGAAUCAGGGAACUUCAUUUACAAAACAAACAAUAAAAGACCUGAUUUUAUCUUAACGACAGUUUAAAUUAUAAAUCUGUGAGAUUCUAAUAUACACUCUAGUUUUUAAGAUACAUAUUAACAGUUUACUCUACAAUGAGGGGAAAAUAAUCUGAAUAUGAGAAUUUUCUGUUACUCAAGUUUAUGUUACAUUUAGCACCAGGUACAUUGUUGCUAUCACCUUAGGGGCUGUUUACAUGAGCCCGGCUAGCCAUGCAGGCUGGCCCGGUUAACCAGGCUGAAGGCCUGGCUAGCCAGGAGGUUACCUGAGCUGGUGACUUUACAUGGAGAAAUUUCAGCCCGGUUAUCCGGGCAUCCUCUUUGACUCAAGUGAGAUCUCGGCUAGGCAGAUUCUUGUUAAAUGAUUUGUUUUAAGCUGGGUGCCUCAGUUAACAGGACUAGUCGGGCUCAUGUAACUAGCCCCUUAGUUAUUAAGACUUGUUGGCAGAGUAAAAUAUAUCAGGCAAUAAAACUGGUUCCAACUUGCAACAAAUCGGAUGUUGGUGCAUGUAAGUUGUAGUGUUGUUUUUACAAAGGGAACCAAGUAAAUGAAACUUUAACAUCUAGUGUAUUCUACUAUGUACAAGUUGUACAACCCCAAAAAUGUAAACAACACUUUGAUUUGAUUUUAGUUCCAUAAAUCCAUAUUUUUUAUCCAUAUUAUCAAUCCAUAUUUAAUUUGAUUUUAGUUCCAUAAAUCCAUAUAAUUUAGUUCCAUAAAUUUGAGUUUAGAUCCAUAAAUCUAUUAAGAUCUGCAACUGUCCUACAUGCACAAAUGCCAUCCAAUGUAAUGACCUAGAUGAUAACAGGAAGCAGUUUUGUUUCUUUAAGGCCUUUGAUCAAACAGAAAACACAUUUGAAGGUCUUCAUGUUCCAACAAAUUGCUUUCUGGACUACAUCAUGAAAGAUACAAAAAUUGUUUUUGAGGUUGUGCAUUUACUACAGCUUGAAA
rnacentral:lncRNA from 1 species